GCCGGCUUAGCUCAGAUGGUAGAGCACCUGAUUUGUAAUCAGGGGGUCGCGGGUUCGAUUCCUGCAGCCGGCA
rnacentral:tRNA from 1 species